UACGUAGGGGGCGAGCGUUGUCCGGAGUUACUGGGCGUAAAGGGCAUGCAGGCGGUCGGACGCGUUUCGGGUGACAGCGGGUGGCUUAACUACCCGAGUGGUCGAAAGACGGUUUGACUUGAGGACGCGAGAGGGACACGGAAUUCCGGGUGGAGUGGUGAAAUGCGUAGAGAGUCCGGAGGAACACCGAAGGCGAAGGCAGUGUCCUGGCGCGUAACUGACGCUGAGGUGGCGAAAGCCAGGGGAGCGAACGGG
rnacentral:rRNA from 1 species